UAUACUCUCACCUCUCUGCUCUUGGGCUCUCCCUGCCCCCCUUCUCCACGUGGUCAUGGCCAGCUUCCACUCCUCUUCUCUUCUCUUCUCUUCUCUUCUCUUCUCUUCUCUUCUCUUCUCUUCUCUUCUCUUCUCUUUCUCUCUCUCUCUCUCUCUCUCUCUCUCUCUCUCUCUCUCUCUCUCUGCCUUUCUCUACCACUAACUCCCAUCCCCUAUUUAAAUAAACUCUAUUCUAUACCAUGCCUGUGUGUGUGUGGUCCCUCAGGGGGCAGAGGUGCCCAGACAAGGGCCUGCCUGGGCACCCCCUUCCCCACACCGCCAUGCCACACUCCCUUGACCCCCAAUCCUCUCUUUUUAAGCCCUUUCAUUGGUGCAGUUGGCCAGGAAAGGAGAAACACUGCGAGUUUGCUUGGAUGGAUUCUACUUUCCCUAUGCCCAUGGCCUUGCGGAGGUCCCACGUGUCCCUGCAGGACCGCUGCGGUUCUGGAGGUGAUGGUUCCAUCCCUCCCACUCCGGCAGCAGCACCGCGGCGGUUCUGGCGACAGCGGUUCCAUCCCGGUGGAACUCUGCAGCGGUGCCCCGCGUGAGUGCCACUGGGUGCGGCUAUCAAAUUUGCUCCUGCGUCUUAUUGCUAAGAUAUGAAACAAGCUAAACCACAGCCUCACAGAGGUCCUGCGUAUCUCUGCAGGACGGCUGCGUUUCUGUCCCUCUGUUCCGCAGCAGCACAAGCCAGCCUGCCACUGUGCAAAACCAUCAUGCCAAUGUCUGGUUCCCCACUACUGAGUGGUAGACUAUGGCCAGGUGAUGCUCUGUGCUGUUGCCCUGCGCACUCGUGCACAAAUGGUAGGAUACUCCGCACAAGUGGUAGGUUACUGGCGGUGGCGGCGGUCCCCCUCCUGCGAGUCGUUGCUAAUAGGUGUCGUUGCUAAUAUAUGAAACAAGCUACUUCCCAGCCAGUACAGGCUACUUGACUUCCGACUUCCACUGCUGGCAGGAAGUCCCGCCCUGUGCCUGAGCAAUCACCCUACAACUUUUCCCUUCUGCCCUCGCGACCCCUAACUGCAGCAGCUGGUCUCAGGCUAAUAGUGCUCUUGUCUUAGAACCACAGCACAGCAACGCUGUGUUCCAUCCCCGCUGAGCGGUGCCACUGCCCCUGCUCUCAGAGCUCACCGCUCUCAGAACUGCAGCAAGCCUGCACCCCAUCCCAGCGCGAUCGAUCCCGCUCUGCUGGCCACGAUGCAGAUUUCUCCUGCUGUUGCCUGGCCGCAGCCCAUUCCCAGCUCAGCUCUGCUGCUGUGCUCCGAAGGGCAGGCAACAGAAGAGGGAGAAAAAGAUCCAACCCAGUCAAUACACACUGGCCAGAUGCUAGGUCAGUUCCACACUGUCUGCUGAGAUGCUCCACUACUUCUAGCACCCGCUUCUCUCACAUUCCUGCCGCUUUUCUCACAACACUGCACUCCAUCCCCUUCACUGUGCUGUCCCGCUGCACCCCCCCCAAGCCCUGUGACCUCUGUCACUGCUGUUCAUAUGGUGGGCCAUGGUGGAUCUUGGGGGGCCAGGCCCCACAGCCAGGCGGUUCAGAAUGCUCAACAUGAUAGCCAAUUACACAAGCUUCCACAAUGUGUGUGCUCCCUGUCAGGUUCUUCCUUCUACCAGACUACAAAUUUAAAUAAAUAUUAGCCAUAAUAAUAAGUAACCCUUAGCUUUCAAAUGAAGUCUGGCCAACCUCUUUGGAACAAAGGGUUUCCUCUCAUGCCUAGCCCACACGUGACUGGCAUUCCAGAUAACGUUCCUGCUUAGGACAUUUAGGCCCUCCCUUGGGUGUACCCUGACUCAGAAGUUACCCAGUCUCCCUCUUAGCUUUUACAGCUGCCAAAGCCCUGGACCAGGCAUGGGAGCUUCUCCGGGCAUUCUGGGAAUGCCCAUAGCCCCUAGAGACUCCUGUGACAGCUGGAGCCUUUAGCUUGGCUAUACUGCAUUAAUAAAUAUGCUUUCAGGACGCUGAAGUUAUAUUUAUUAGCAACUUACCCCUCCCUCACCCAGUGGGCGCUACUUGUCUUCGACCAUAUAUUUUUAAAAUUAACAGUCUGGUAAAUGAUAAAGGACCUAAAUCUCACCUAUUCCAUGUUCCCACAUCCUUAACUUGUUUGUUCCUAUAGCCUGCGUGCUCAAGUUGAUGUUAAUGAGCCUAAGUCUGCCUAGACAAACCCAUUUUCUGCCACUACGAUUUAAUCCAUUGCUGCCAGCUUCCUUACUCUGAUCCUAGCAUGUUUACUAACCAAGGUAAUGGUAUGUUUACCUAUUACAACCUAUGCAACCUGUCAAAGCUACGUAAGAUUCCCAUUCCUAUCCUCUCUUAACUAUUGCUCUCCUAUCUUGCGCUCAAUCUUGUCAGAAUUUUGUUAUUAUAUUUAAGACAGACAGAAUUCCCAAAGGCCUGACAGCUUCUCCCAGGAGGUCUCAGAAGAAAGAUAUGGACACCACCACAGUAUGCUGCUAAAAGAGUGCAGUGGAUACCUUGAGUCAAAUGACUUAGCUAAACAAAGGUAAGCCAUUUCUCAUGUCAUGGGUAUCCAUUCCACAGAGAAAAAGCCAUGCAUCUUCUGUACUUGAAAGCCAGAUUGACAGCCAAAGCCGCCAUAAAGACCAGAGACCACAAAGAACUGCUGGCUAUUGGAAUCUGUCAUUCUUUAAUAAUAUAACUGCUAAGUUAUAGUUCAUUCCUCAGACUUCUGACUACAUUGACAGCUAGACAGUUAUCUCCUUACCUAAACUCUGUUUCCAUUAAAUGCUUCAUAUUUCCUCUUCUUGCUCCGUCACUGUCCUAAUAUGUGCAUUCCUAUAGAUUUCUCUAAUAAUAAAUAUUCCACUAUAUGAUCCAACCUUCAAUCCUAUUCCUUCUGAUCCACAAAGG